UAGUUGGAUUUCUGUCGAAGACGGUCGGUCCGCUCUAUGAGCGAGUAUCUGAUUCGGCUUUGGCAUCCUCGUGGGGAACGUAACUGUGCUUGAUUGCAUGGUGCGGAAUUCACGACUUUUACUUUGAGGAAAUUAGAGUGUUCACGGCAGGCAAGCGCCUUGAAUACAUUAGCAUGGAAUAAUAAUAUAGGACUUUGGUUCUAUUUUGUUGGUUUCUAGGACUAAAGUAAUGAUUAAUAGGGAUAAUUGGGGGCAUUUGUAUUAACGCGUCAGAGGUGGAAUUCUUGGAUUGCGUUACGACAAACUACUGCGAAAGCAUUUGCCAAGGAUGUUUUCAUUGAUCAAGAACGAAAGUAUGGGGAUCGAAGAUGAUUAGAUACCGUCGUAGUCUAUACCAUAAACUAUGCCGACUAGAGAUUGGAGGUCGUUCUUUUUAUGACUCCUUCAGCACCUUAUGAGAAAUCAAGGUCUUUGGGUUCCGGGGGGAGUAUGGUCGCAA
rnacentral:rRNA from 1 species